UUAGGUGGUUGCCUGGGAGACCGGACGUGGCGCCGGGGCCGUCGCAUCACACACAGCUGAUCCCACAGAAGCCCAGCGAGCGGGCGCCGCGUGGCGGAGUGAGCCGAAGCUGCAGCCUGGGCCCCGCGGGCGCGUGAGCUCGGUCACUCAGCUCAGGGCAGCCGCGCACAAGCUCCUCCACGGCCUGAUUGCCUGCGGGGCCCAGCGAGUGGACGGACGCAGGAGGCGGCGGACGCGGGAGGAGGCGCGGCAGUUGUACCGAGUUCUCCAGCGGAUCCUCAUGCAAGUGGUCCGCGGACCCCACGCCUCCCAGACCCAAGAUGAUUGUGACCAGAAAUCCGACCACGUGGGAGGUUGUGAAGUGUGUUCCGUGCCCAGCUGCUAGGAGACGGGGAGGGGAGAGAAGUGUCACAGCUGGUGCGGCUGGGCCGUAACGGACAGAAGCCGGGAGCGGGUAUGUCUGCCCCACCCAUGACGAGAAGGCCUCUCGGAAAUGCAGUCCGCUCACCUGUGACUCAGCAGACACUACUGUGGAGAAUGGAUUACUGCUUCCAUCUCAGGAAUCUCUCCUCCACAUACAACCGCAGUGACUUUAAAAUGUAAAAUCAGGGGGUGCCUGGGUGGCUCAGUCAGUUGAGCGUCUGCCUUCCCCUCAGAUCAUGAUCCCAGGGUCCUGGGAUCGAGUCCUAUGUCGGGCUCCCUGCUUAGCCGGGAGCCUGCUUCUCCCUCUGUCCCUCUCCUGGCUCAUGCUCUCUCUCUCUCAAAUACAAAAAGAAAAUCCUUAAAAAAUAAAAAAUAAAGUGUGAAAUCAGGGGCACCUGACUCUUGAUUUCAGCUCAGGUCAUGAUCUCAGGGUCGUGAAAUCGAGCCCUGUGUCGGGCUCCAUGCUCAGUGGGGUGUCUGCUUGAGAUUCUUCCCCUCUCCUUCUCCCUCACUCAAAUAAAUACAUCUUUUUAAAAAAUGUGAAAUCAAACCACGUCAUUCUCCAGUAAAGACUCACUACACUUAAAGUAAAAUCUCUUCAUUUGGCUUUUAAGGUCCUAUACAAUGUGGCCCUUCCUAGUUUCCCAAACUCUUGCCAUGUCACUCCCUAUCUUCUUGAGCUCUUCCUUUUUCCUGCCCCCAGUAUUGCUCGAGGAACUCAGGGGCCAUGCGUGUCUUGUGUGUAUUAGCCUGCCCGGGUCUAGGCUGGAUGGAGCACAGUAGACACAAUCGUUGGAAAGAAUGAAAGAAGCGGAGAGUCCGUAAUGCAGCAAGUGUCCAUUAGAGGGUUCCCUUAACCAUUGAGAACAAGACCAACUGUUCUACAAGCAGGUCCGCAGAAAAGGUCCUAAUGAAAGUAGACUGAUCAUAACACAGUAAACGCUUUCAAAAGGAGCACUCUACCAGCUAUGGACGCUUCCUUCCACCACAUGACCAGACUCCUUUCUGCAGACAGCAGAGGGGAUCCACACACAGCCACCCACAGCGAGGCCGCCUCCCUGCUCCUCAGGGUUCACACCUCCAAUACCGUCCUCAAAGGGCUGGGGUUAGGAGUACCAGAGACUGCACGUGGGGCCCUGAGCUCAUGUCUGCCACAUGGAAAUAAUAAAUGGCAGCUGCUGUUAUUUCAAAUCACUUAAUGAAAGUUAUUUUAUCUGUAAUAAAUGCUUUCUCCAAUCAUUUUCCUGCAUCCAAAUCCUACUUAAGGCCCGGUUCAAAUACUGCCGCCCAUCUAUACGGUGAGGAGACACGCUGGGUUCCCUACUCCCAAACCGCCCCCACCCCAGACUCCCCUUCACCUUCCCUUCACAGCCAAGCUUCUGAGCACAGUAGUCUAUGUGGCCAUUCAUUCAGUGACUAUGAUCAUUCGUUAGCACCUGCCACUAGGCUGAAACUCUGUUGCUAAAUCCAAUGAAAACCUUUUAGUCUUUUUUUUUUUAAAUUUUAUUUAUUUAUUUGAGAGAGCAUGAGAGAGGGGAAGUCAGAGGGAGAAGCCGACUCCCCAUGGGGCUGGGAGUCCCAUGCGGGACUCGAUUCCGGGACUCUGGGAUCAUGACCCGAGCCGAAGGCCGUUGCCUAACCACGUGAGCCACGCAGGUGCCAAAACCCUUUCAGUCUCUGACGUGCUUGCCGUCUCACUAGCUGCUGACACUGCCGAGCACUCCUGCCUCUGAAAACACUCUGCGCCCUGCUUCCUUCCCACCACUGGCCACUCCUUUCAUUCCCCGCUGCACACUGGGACCUCCACCCCCGCAUACAGCCCGCGAAUGCCGAAGUCCCACAGGUCUCUUGACUCUCUCAGGAGCUCCAAACCCAACCUUCCCAUCAGCAGCACAAAUUUAAAAUGGCAAAAAUGAACUCAGCAUCUUACUCUAUUACUGAAUCAUUGACCUUAAUGAAGCAGCACAAGCAUCCAGUCUGUGACUAGAACCACAAACCUCACACCCUGCGGAGGGGGCCCCAUCACCCCCCAGGGUCCUGGCUUCAAACCGCUUCAUUGCAAUGCUUCUGCCUUGGCUCCUCCUGCCUCGACGACUUCAAUAGUCUCCAGCCAGUCCCUCUGUUUUUUAAACAGCCUUAUUGAGAUAAUAAAUUCACAUACCAUAAAAUUCA